UCCAGUCUUGCACUCUGGAGUCCAGCCUGAGCUAUUGGUUUUCCUCCUUUAUAAGAGAAAACAAGCAGGGCCGAUACUUGAGUUCAAAAAUUACUACAAUGGAGAUGUGUAGAUUAAUGCGGUUCAUUGGUAUGGCCAUUGCUGCACUUCUUUUCUUCACACCAUUCACCAGUGCUCAAAGCCCUUCCCCUGCACCUGCCCCUACAAGUGAUGGUUUGUUCUCUCUCUCUCUCUCUCCCUCGGUUAUCAAUAGUGCUACUUACAAAGUGAGGUUAUAACAUGGACAUUGAUGAAUCUGAUACUGAAAUUUGGUUCGGAUUGCAGGGGUAGCAAUUGAUCAGGGAAUUGCUUGCGUUCUAAUGCUGGUUGCUUUGGUUCUUACCUAUAUUAUCCACUGACACACUUCUUCUUCAGCAGUCGCAGAGACAGCAAGCGUCAUGAAGAGGUGUAAACCAAAUGAUCAACGCUUCUUGUUGAUGUUAUGCGCCUUUUUAUUUUUGGUUUCUUGCUGCUUCUCCUGCAGAUGAUUUAAUAGUUCAACCACCAUUCUUUCAUUCAUCAAGGAAUUUUGUUUUCUUCCAUUUCUGUCUACAUUUUUGUACACCCAUUAUCUAUCUGUCUUUUUAAUUUUUAAUUUUAAAGUCCAACCACCAUUGUUUUUUUAUUUUUCUCAAAAUAUAAUGAAUAACAGCUUGAGCACUGGAGCACAGCCUUAAGAGGAUCCAUUCCCAUAAACUAUAUUUUAGAUCGUAACAAGACACUAUCGUCACCAACUUCAUAACCAGAUGACUUCAAAAUAUUUCUCAUGACAAGUAUCUGUUAUCCAAUUGCCAUCCUGUGUUUUCUUCUCUGCUGAGUCAAAACAACAAACAACUUUAGCAUUAGCCUAUUUUCGAUGAUUUGAUGCAAGAAGCAACUCACAAGUCACAAUACAAAUAACACUACGGUAUUCC
rnacentral:lncRNA from 1 species